CGGGAAUAAUGCUGCACUGUAGGAAAAUUAUUAACUUUUCGAAUGCCACGUCGGUCACCUGUGACUGACGAACGAGACACCUCAUUGUAAUAGCUGACUCGCUGUUCAGUGUUAAGAUAAUAUACUUGUGUAUGUCCCGAAUAUCUUUAGCGAAUCUAAACUAUUAAUUAAUUAACCUUAUUACCUAAUUAGCGCUAUUCUGGUAAAUGGUACUAACAAUGGUAACAAUUUUAAUAAUAUCACUAACAGACCACUGCACGCCUGUUUGCCGCUUUAUGAAACCUGUUUCUCCGGGUUGUCAUAGGUCAUAUCAAGUUCCAGAAAUCGCAGUACAGGAAUCCUCAUGUUCCACCGUCGACAAUUGUAGCUAAGAUAAUUGGAUGUAUACUCCAAGAUGAAGUGUGUCGUGAAGAGGCGUUAAUAAAAUCGAGACAUUCUAUAGCCGACAUGCGAUCUCAGCCAAACAUUAAUGCAAUUCUCGCCGCGCGUAUGCGUAACAACUAACAAAUUUGACCUCGCAGAACCAUGUGGGUAUACGCGUUAUUUAUGCAUAUUUUUGUUAAUUAUUUCAAUUGACUAUUACCGUUUGUUAAAUAUUAUGUUAUUGUGCAAUCAUUAUUAUAGAAUUCC